CGAAGGGUGCAAACGUUGCUCGGAAUUAUUGGGCGUAAAGCGUACGUAGGCGGUUAUUCAAGUCAGAGGUGAAAGCCCGGGGCUCAACCCCGGAACGGCCUUUGAAACUAGAUAGCUAGAAUCUUGGAGAGGUCAGUGGAAUUCCGAGUGUAGAGGUGAAAUUCGUAGAUAUUCGGAAGAACACCAGUGGCGAAGGCGACUGACUGGACAAGUAUUGACGCUGAGGUACGAAAGCGUGGGGAGCAAACAGGAUUAGAUACCCUGGUAGUCCACGCCGUAAACGAUGAUAACUAGCUGUCCGGGCACUUGGUGCUUGGGUGGCGCAGCUAACGCAUUAAGUUAUCCGCCUGGGGAGUACGGUCGCAAGAUUA
rnacentral:rRNA from 1 species